rnacentral:lncRNA from 1 species
UGAGUGAAGACUGUGCCUGGGCUUUGGCAGAGACAGUUUUGUGACAGAGAGACUGGUGAUGACAAGCACAAGUUAAGUGACUAUGAUGAAACAAAGCCCUGGGGACAGGCUGGGAAGCUACAGCUCGCAUCCGCUUCACUAGGUGGCACGUUGAGAGCCACCAUGACCACGUUGGUUUUUCCGGGAUGAGUGUCUCUGGCAGGGCCCCAGCAGUGAGGCAGCUGGAACUGCGAGAGGUGACAACCUCGCCAUCAUUGCUGGCAGUGUUACCUUGAGAGGCGGGCUCGGGAGCCUGGACGUGCCUGGCCCGAGUUGGAGCCAACUCUUCCUCUCUUGUCUACAGCUACAACAGUUACCUUACAAUGGUGGCACAGUGUAAUAUAACAACUGGCACAUAGAGGGAUUGCCUCUGGUGAACUGAGAGAACUAACUGGAGUCGAGGGUAAGUGGGAGACAGCGGAGUGACGUCCGUGAUCUUUUUGUCUUGGUCUGAGCAGUCAAUUAUUUUCACUUUUGUUUCCAUUGUUAUUGCUUUGUCCUUUCUAGCAGUCCCCUCCACAUCACCACUGCUUUUCCUCUUGCUGCUUCUGGAUACCCUGGGCUCUCACGGAGCACUGUACAGUAUACUCUACAAUCUCACACUGUGCAGUAAGCACACAGCAGCACGACUGUGACAGUGUCUGGCAGACACUGGUUGGGAGACCUAGUCUCCUAUGAUGUUGUCUGGUCACUGCUACUACUGAAUCUGUUUGGCUUUGAAGGACAGCAAUACUCUGGUUGGAAGAAUGGAAGAACUGAAGAGCAAGAGAAAGAACUUUCGCUCAGGGCUGGGCAAUUCAGUACCUCAGACGGGGGUGACACCCUUGGGAGAAUCUUACACUGGUUCUUGAAGGCAAGUAACCCCAAAUCUCUUAGCAUGAUCUCAACUUUGUCCUCAGGAGUCAUGAAGGGCCUAUUGCCUUUGGUAAUAGGGACACUUUUAAUCCAAUUGUAU